UACUCCUGACUGACCGAUAGUGAACCAGUACCGUGAGGGAAAGGCGAAAAGAACCCCGGAGAGGGGAGUGAAAUAGAACCUGAAACCGUAUGCGUACAAGCAGUGGGAGCCCACUUUGUUGGGUGACUGCGUACCUUUUGUAUAAUGGGUCAGCGACUUAUUUUCAGUGGCGAGCUUAACCGAAUAGGGGAGGCGUAGCGAAAGCGAGUCUUAAUAGGGCGUUUAGUCGCUG
rnacentral:rRNA from 1 species